UUCGCAAUGCCCGAAAGGGUGACGAAGCGACGCCGCGUGGGUGAAGAAGGCCUUCGGGUUGUAAAGCCCUGUCAGGAGUUAUGAAAUGUAGGUGCGAUAAUACCGUGCCUAUUUGACAAAGGCUCCAAAGGAAGCCACGGCUAACUCUGUGCCAGCAGCCGCGGUAAUACAGAGGUGGCAAGCGUUGUUCGGAAUUAUUGGGCGUAAAGAGCACGUAAGUGGGUUUGUAAGUCAGAUGUGAAAGCCUUCUGUUCAACGGAAGAAUUGCAUCUGAAACUGCGAGUCUUGAGUGUAGGAGGGGAGAAUGGAACUUCUGGUGGAGCGGAGAAAUGCGUAGAUAUCAGAAGGAACGCCGGCGGCGAAAGCGAUUCUCUGGCCUAUUAGUGACACUGAGUGUGCGAAAGCUAGGGGAGCAAGCGGGAUUAGAUACCCCGGUAGUCCUAGCCGUAAACGAUGGGCACUAAGUAGAGGGGUUUU
rnacentral:rRNA from 1 species